rnacentral:lncRNA from 1 species
UCUCUUAAAACUCUCUUUAUUAUUUUAAUUAUUUUCGUAAUCAUAAUUUCAGUAAAUUUUAAAUUCUAUUUUUAUUUUAUUUUUUGCUUCCAAAAUCAAUUCUUAAAUUCUAUUUUUUUUAUUUUUUUUCUAGGAACGCAGGUUUUCUUAGGCACGAUUCUGCCUAGGAUUUCGAGAAACAAGCAUUCGUAUAAUCCGGUCCCUGAGAAUUCGACCUACUUCCCCUUUACUAUUUCUUUUUCGUUAUUUUACAGGGAAUAGGAUAUUUUUAUGGGAAAGUUCAUAUUUUCUUUCAAUAAAAUUUCCUUUUCCAUUUUUAUAUUUAUUUUCUUUUCCACCAUUAUCAUGAGCCACUAAAACCCUUCUAGCCAAAAGUUGUCAAUAUUUCCCCAAAAAGGGUUCUUGAGGCCUAGAAUCCGUACUUAGCCUUCUCACCAAGUAUUCAUCGUUUCUCCGCACUCCGGGCUGACGCUUCCGUCCAUUGCCCUUAAGAAGUAAGCUUUUCAGCAUAUGCAAAGGUGGCCGCUUUGUAUGUUUUGGAAGGAUUGCAUAGUCGGUUCAUUAACUUACUGCGUCAGAAGUUGGCGAGCCAAAGAGACAAAAUGGCGUGGGAUUCGCCAUUGAGAAGCGUUGAUCUAGCAUAGAUUACUAGCUAGAGUCAGGUUCCCUAAAAAUCGUAAGUCUAAUCUUUGGAGCUGGUGGUCGUAGGCAUCCUCUUCCGGUAUAACUGGCUUACUUGAGUCGAGAAGGAUCAUCCAAAAGCCAAGGAUUGAGCCCAAGGCGGAAUGAGACAAUCGGAGGCUGGAACUUUCCCAUAAGAAUUUCUUUUCUCUUAAAACUCUCUUUAUUAUUUUAAUUAUUUUCGUAAUCAUAAUUUCAGUAAAUUUUAAAUUCUAUUUUUAUUUUAUUUUUUGCUUCCAAAAUCAAUUCUUAAAUUCUAUUUUUUUUAUUUUUUUUCUAGGAACGCAGGUUUUCUUGGGCACGAUUCUGCCUAGGAUUUCGAGAAACAAGCAUUCGUAUAAUCCGGUCCCUGAGAAUUCGACCUACUUCCCCUUUACUAUUUCUUUUUCGUUAUUUUACAGGGAAUAGGAUAUUUUUGGUACUCUCAACGACGAAUCAAGCAAUUUACUCAUUUUGAUCAUGGCAUCCUAGUUAUUUGGCAUAAGCAUAGGUGCAUGAAAUCGAUACUACAGAUCAUGUCCUUAGAGGACGGUAAGCAACAUUGGUGAAUUCACAGAUCUUAUCUCCCUAAGCAGUAGUGGAGCAGAUGAAAGACAGUGAGCUUUAACCCCCUAAGUAGUAGGGUAACAGGCCGAAGAUUGUAGAUCUUGUCUCUCUAAGCAGUAGUGGAGCAAAUCAAAGACAGUGAGCCUUAACCCCCUAAGUAGUAGGGUAACAGGCCGAAGAUUGUAGAUCUUGUCUCCCUAAGCAGUAGUGGAGCAAGUCAAAGACGGUGAGCCUUAACUCCCUAAGCAGUAGGGUAACAGGCUAAAAAUUACAAGUCUUAUCUCCCUGAAGUCGCGGUGGAGCAGUUGCAGUGGAGCAGACUGAAGAUAGCAGAUCUUAUCUCCCUGAAGUUGUAGUGGAGCAGAUCGAAGCCACAAUCUUUAUCUCUCUGAAGUUGCAGUAGAGCAGGAUAAAAAUGCGCAAGCCUUAUCUCCUUGAAGUUGCAGUGGAGCAGUUGCAAUAGAGUAGAUUAAAAGUUACAAGGCUAGUCUCUCUAGAGUUACAGUGGAGUGGAUUAGAGCGACAAUUCCUAUACCCCUGAAGUUGCAGAGGAUUGGAACAAAGCUACCUCGAAGAAGAAAAGCACCAAAGAAGUUAUGAUUCGACGAGACCGGGCAAAAUUGGUCAUCUUUGAAGUCUUUGCUCUAUUCUCGUUCCACGACAAUGAGCAAAGAGGGGCAGUUGUAUAGGCCCAAAUCUGCCCGGGGCCCAACAACCAGAAUAAAACCAACUAUUAAACCAAAAAUCCAUAAAAAUAAAAACAAAUUAAUAGUCUCUCGAAGUCCAAACUACAUAACCCCAAAACCCAAAACAUUACAAACCCAAAAUUAAUACUAACCCUAGCCCAAGAUUAUACGGCCCAGCAGGCCCAAAAAUUAAAACAUCAGAAACCUAGGGUUUCUCCCCUUCGCGCCGUAGCCAGGCCACUAUGCCUUCGUACACUCCAGCGCUUCAGCAGCCACCGAGCUCCGUACGCCCCACACCGAGUGCCACGUGCCCCGACAGCUAGCCCCGUACCUCCGUACCUGCAAGCCAAAGAAGACAAAUGCACAGCGAAACGAAAAAAAAAGAAUAUUGUAUUUUUAUUUUAUUUUUUUAUUAUUCCUUCGGCUAUAAAGCCCAGAAAAGAAUCAUCUGUAAGGUUAUGCACACAUAAUAGAGAAAAAGCAAUCAAAAACAGCAAAGGUGAUUUCAAGUUUUUUGCCUUCUCUUUCGAUUCAUUUUCUCUUUGGUUGGUUCAAUUUUCUAGUAUGUGAAUCGACAUCGAUGAGAGCCCAAAAUACUUCGUAGAUGCGGAGGUAAGGGUGAGGGAUCGAAUAGUGUUGAAAGCUCCCUUGUUCUAUGAACCUUUCUUCAUUUUUUUCUUUAAAAAAUAACAUGGGAUUUGAAGUUUUUUAAAAUAAAGAAGAAAAGGAGAAAGAAUACACUCACCAAAUUCCUUUAGAUGAGGUCGAGCACCUUCAAUAGCGGGAUCGGGGGUACUAUUGCGCACUGUUGAUCAUCAGUUGUGAUGGUGGUUCGGCGGCUAUGGCAAAAUAAACCCCAGCAGAUUGAUUUUAGGGCUGCAGUUUUGUUAAAAGAUUGGCUAUGUUUGAGAAAGAAAAUAGGAAAAAAAAAAGGGGUUUUAAAUGACCUGUUAAAAAUAGUGCCAUAUAAGGGCAGGGAGACCCGCGCGUCAACCCAUCCCAGACCUGGACCCGCGCCUCUGCCCUUCAAAUGGG